GCCGGGAGGUUGAACAUCCUGCAUAGUGCUGCCAGGAAAUCCCUAUUUCAUACUAAGAGGGGGCCAGCUGGUUGCAUAUGUAGGAUGUCCCAUCUCCCGGCCCACUUCGUCG
rnacentral:pre_miRNA from 17 species